rnacentral:tRNA from 1 species
AGCGGGUGUAGUUUAAUGGUAGAACUUCAGCCUUCCAAGCUGACUGUGAGAGUUCGAUUCUCUUCACCCGCUCCAU